AUACGGAGGGUGCAAGCGUUAAUCGGAAUUACUGGGCGUAAAGCGUGCGUAGGUGGUUUGUUAAGUUAGAUGUGAAAGCCCCGGGCUCAACCUGGGAACUGCAUUUGAAACUGGCAUACUAGAGUAUAGGAGAGGAAAGUGGAAUUUCAGGUGUAGCGGUGAAAUGCGUAGAUAUCUGAAGGAACAUCAAUGGCGAAGGCAGCUUUCUGGACUAAUACUGACACUGAGGUACGAAAGCGUGGGUAGCAAACAGGAUUAGAAACCCGGGUAGUCC
rnacentral:rRNA from 1 species